rnacentral:rRNA from 1 species
CCCCUAGUAACUGCGAGUGAAGCGGGAAGAGCUCAAAUUUGAAAUCUGGCGGCUCCGUCGUCCGAGUUGUAACCUGGAGAAGCGUUUUCCGUGCCGGACCGUGUACAAGUCCCUUGGAACAGGGCGUCGUAGAGGGUGAGAAUCCCGUCUUUGACACGGACUCCCGGUGCUCUGUGAUGCGCUCUCGAAGAGUCGAGUUGUUUGGGAAUGCAGCUCAAAAUGGGUGGUAAAUUCCAUCUAAAGCUAAAUAUUGGCGAGAGACCGAUAGCGAACAAGUACCGUGAGGGAAAGAUGAAAAGCACUUUGGAAAGAGAGUAAAACAGUACGUGAAAUUGUUGAAAGGGAAACGCUUGAAGUCAGUCGCGUCUGCCGGGACUCAGCUCCGCUCUGCGGGGUGCACUUCCCGGCUGACGGGUCAGCAUCGGUUUUGGGGGACGGACAAAGGCGGGAGGAAGGUGGCAGCUCCGGCUGUGUUAUAGCCUCCCGUUGUACGCGCCCUCCGGGACCGAGGAAUCCGGCGCUCGCCGCCUGGGAUGCUGGCGUAAUGGCUUUAAGCGACCCGUCUUGAAACACGGACCAAGGAGUGCUACACGCUCGCGAGUGUUUGGGUGGAAAACCCGGACGCGCAAUGAAAGUGAAAGUCGAGACCCUUUGCGGGGGCACCGACGCCCGAGCCUGACGUUUUCUGAAGGCCUUGCGGUAGAGCGAGCGCGUUGCGACCCGAAAGAUGGUGAACUAUUCCUGAGGAGGGCGAAGCCAGAGGAAACUCUGGUGGAGGCUCGUAGCGGUUCUGACGUGCAAAUCGAUCGCAGGACUUGGG